CCCUCUAAGAAUCGCUCUGCAACCUAUGGUCUUCCUGAGCAUGUUGGAUGGCCAUAAUCAGUUACAUGGAAGUUGGACGAGGAUGGUGAACCAGGAUAGAGUUGGCAAAUUCUUAGCUUGUCUUUACUUAAUUGAAAUUUGGGAGUCACCAUUUGAGGUGCUAUUGUGCUAAUGAAAUUUGAAGGGUUAUUUGGGUCUUUACUGAAUAAGAGAUGAGGUCCACAUUAAUUAGCAAAUAUUGAGGCAUGCAUGCAAUAUGCAAUAUAAGUCCGCAGUGUACUGAAUCAGGCAAGAAAAUCCAAGUGACUUACAUUUAUUGAACCUGCCUUGUGUACUACUCAUCAGACACAACUCACGUAAAUGAGGCUCUUUCAACUCUUGCUCUUUAAAUUCUUCCUCCCUCAUCACCCUUUUCUCCCUGUAACAACGAUCCAAUUCCUGUGACCAUCACCAAUAUGUAUCUUAAUACAUUUUCAAUUAAGUAUCAGUAUAGAUAAUAUACGUUAAAAUAUGGUAUCAAUUUUAUUGUAGCUUCUCAUGAAUAAUUCGUUUAUUAAUUUAUAUGUCCUGAAUUUGCAGUCUUUUCCGAAGACAGUCUUGUGCACCUUUUUUCAUGUGACCCCUUAUCAACUCCUAUUUUGCCUGUGAACCGCUUCAAUACUAAACCAUGAUUGCUUUCAAGCCACUCAUUUGUUCUUUAUGUUCAUCUCUAUAUAUAUAUGUGCAACAUCCAGUUUCUAUCUUAUAUACUUUCAUCUAUUAAGUGGAUUCAAAAACACUCACAAAUUGUCAAAAGUUAAUAAUAAUAUAAUGGGAAAGGCCUCUUUCUGUAUUGCUGCGAUUCUUAUUUUUUUACUUUAUGUUUCAAUAAUGAUUUCACCAAGUCCCAUUAGCCAAUCACACUCGCGUGCUGAAUUUUCAUAUGGUAAAAUGGUUAAAACAAAAGUUUUCGACCACCAAAAAGAAAGAAUAGCAAUACCAGAAACAAUGGUUCUGGCAGGAUCUAAAUUGCCAGAUUGCUCUCAUGCAUGUGGAUCAUGCUCGCCAUGCCGGUUGGUGAUGGUGACCUCUUGUGCACGCAUUAAAGAAGCUGAGCCAUGUCCAUUGGCUUAUAAGUGUAUGUGUCAUGACAAGUCCUACCCUGUCCCAUAGAACAAGACUUAGACAAAAAACAAAAGAGAGGAGGUGUU